rnacentral:rRNA from 1 species
AUGUUGAUGAUAUCACUCUUGUCAGUUCUUCAGAUGUUGUUGUUGAUGGGCUUCUCUCAACUCUUUAGUUCUGAUUUUGUUGUCAAGGACCUCAACAAGCUUCAUUUUUUCUGGGUUAGGAGAUCACUCAUACCACUACUUCCCCAACGACAGCCUCUUCUCUCCCUUGUCCACGGCCAGUCCAGACGCUAUUUCGCAGUCAGUCCAUUACCCAAUUGCCAUACUCUUCCUUGUGGAUAUGUGCCAUUGCCAUGCUUUGCUCUUUUCGCUCAAACAAUUAGUUUGUCCCGACAUAUCAUCCUCUUUUCAGCUCAGUUUCUCAUGCCCGUUCACCUAUCCAUCCAUGUUUAG